AUGAGAUAUUAGAGUAAGUUAAAUCAUAGAUUUAAAAUGGAAUAAAACAUAGAUCAGUCGCUUUCAUAUGUAUUAAGAUAAGAAACAUGUUAUAAAGAUGAUGCAUUGAAUCCAAAUAUAUCUUCAUUUGCUGGUAAAUUUUAUGCAUAGUUUGACUAUUUCGGUCAUUAAAGGCCGCACAUUCAACAGGCAAGUCUACAGGAGGCCUCAUUCUCUCUAAGGUAAAAGAGAAAAGGAUGAAUUUUUCCUAUUGAAGUCCUUAUGUACCUUUGUAAUUUACUUGAGUUAGCAUGGAAAGUAAUGGUAAGGGGUAUCUAUUGAUGGUGCGCCACUUCCCUUUGAGACUGGUGAAAUUAAUUGUGGUGAACCAGGGACAAAUGAUCAGCACAGUUUCAACAGAGGAUUGAAGAUGAUGGUGGUUUGAAGAAGGCAGUAACAGAGUAUUGAAGAUGAUGGUGGUUUGAAGAAGGAAGCCGUUGUUAAUAACGGCUAGUAUUAACCAACGACGCCGUUUCAUUAUACUAGAAAGAAAAGGAUUACAAAAAGGGAAAACGGUGUCGCACGGAUAACGAGGGCAAUGACAAAACACAUACUGUAUAUCUUCUUCCUAUUUAUAACAUAAACGGUUGGAGGUUACAAGUUUGUUACGGAAAAAUGAAGAGAGAGAAAGUUUAGUUGUAACUAUAUAGAGCAUCUUGUGUAGCAAGUUUCGUAAGAGUGAUUCUUCUUUUCUUCCUUUUAAGAAUUGAAACCUUCCUCUGUUUUGGUUCCUCUCUUGUACCUGUUAUCUGUUAUCUUCUUCUUUUGUAUCUGUUAUCUUCUUAUUCAAUGAGAUGAAUUCAAUCAAGUUUUAUAGUUUUUAUCAACUAAUUCAUCAGGAGAGGUUGUGAAUAACCAUGAUGAACUCAUGUCUCAAACUUUUUUGCGCAACCAGAUGCCUUUGCUUAUGGGAAGCCAACCCUAUGAUUUGGAUGUAGACAUAUCUGAUAGAAGGAAUAGAAAGAUAGAAAGAGCCAAGAUAUUAUGUCCGUGUCUCCUUUUUGUACAACAUAUGUUUUCAUAGUUUAUUUUGCACACAAAUUUCUUUUCUUUUGGUCUUUUGUAGACGCAGUUGCAAAAAGAGAAUGUUCCACAGAAUCUAAUUCCUCACAAGACGUUCUCAGACAAUAGGCAUUCUCUCAGUAUUCUGCUUUCGGCAUUAGAUGCUUACAAAAUUGGACAGGCUUGUGGUUUCUUCAUUAAUUGAGAGGUUGAUGUAUGCUAAUGUUUGAAAAUUGAAAGUAAUCCUGGAAUUGAGAUA